rnacentral:rRNA from 1 species
CAGAGGGGGCAAGCGUUGCUCGGAAUUACUGGGCGUAAAGGGCGCGUAGGCGGGAUGGCAAGUCGGUCGUGAAAUACCUCGGCUCAACUGAGGAGCGUCGAUCGAUACUGCCGUUCUUGAGGAUUGCAGAGGAGACUGGAAUUCCCGGUGUAGCGGUGAAAUGUGUAGAGAUCGGGAGGAACACCGGUGGCGAAGGCGGGUCUCUGGGCAAUUCCUGGCGCUGAGGCGCGAAAGCGUGGGGAGCAAACGGGAUUAGAUACCCCGGUAGUCCACGCUGUAAACGAUGACGACUAGGUGUGGGGGGGUUCAGUCCCUUCCGUGCCGCAGCUAACGCAUUAAGUCGUCCGCCUGGGGAGUACGGCCGCAAGGUUG